rnacentral:rRNA from 1 species
AGCGAACGUUAGCGGCGCGCCUAACACAUGCAAGUCGCACGAGAAAGGGAGCAAUCCCCGGUACAGUGGCGCACGGGUGAGUAACACGUAGAUGACCUUCCCUGGAGUGGUGGAUAACCUGCCGAAAGGCGGGCUAAUACAGCAUGGGACCACAUGGUUUUGACCGAGUGGUGAAAGCGGGCCUCUGUUCACAAGCUCGCGCUCUGGGAUGGGUCUGCGUCCCAUCAGCUAGUUGGUGAGGUAAUGGCUCACCAAGGCAUCGACGGGUAGCUGGUCUGAGAGGAUGACCAGCCACACUGGAACUGAGACACGGUCCAGACUCCUACGGGAGGCAGCAGUGGGGAAUCUUGCGCAAUGGGCGAAAGCCUGACGCAGCGACGCCGCGUGGGUGCUGAAGGCC